AGUGAACGCUGGCGGUAGGCCUAACACAUGCAAGUCGAACGGCAGCACAGUAAGAGCUUGCUCUUACGGGUGGCGAGUGGCGGACGGGUGAGGAAUACAUCGGAAUCUACUUUUUCGUGGGGGAUAACGUAGGGAAACUUACGCUAAUACCGCAUACGACCUACGGGUGAAAGCAGGGGAUCUUCGGACCUUGCGCGAUUGAAUGAGCCGAUGUCGGAUUAGCUAGUUGGCGGGGUAAAGGCCCACCAAGGCGACGAUCCGUAGCUGGUCUGAGAGGAUGAUCAGCCACACUGGAACUGAGACACGGUCCAGACUCCUACGGGAGGCAGCAGUGGGGAAUAUUGGACAAUGGGCGCAAGCCUGAUCCAGCCAUACUGCGUGGGUGAAGAAGGCCUUCGGGUUGUAAAGCCCUUUUGUUGGGAAAGAAAAGCAGCAGGUUGAUACCCCGCUGUUCUGACGGUACCCAAAGAAUAAGCACCGGCUAACUUCGUG
rnacentral:rRNA from 1 species